UAUACGACCGUUAUCCGGACAACUACGAACGUGUCAACAAAAAAAUUGAGAAUUUUUGUCUCGGUGAAUCGUUCGUCUUUUUAUCAAUUUUCUGGUUUAUCAACUCACCAAAAAGCGCCUUACUGUUGAGUAGGAAAAGAAUCAAUUAUCCGUUUAGGGCGUGCACUUAAUAGACGCCCCGAAUUCACCCUCAACCUCGUCACCCGAACCUGUUCUUCUGCAGCAGAACUAGCACGAGGACAACAAGCAAAAAUCAGGAACAAAAGGCCAAGUACUCCUCAAUAGCGAAGAAAAAUGUCUAUAAGCGAGUUUCUGAAAGAUCUACCCUGCCACAACGAGGAAAACUUCUCGCUCUUCAACACCGAGAACGGCGUAAGAAUAUCCUCGAAAAGGCCUUCGGUUUACGUUCCCACGACAGAUAUCCCUUCCGAGCAGGUGAUAGUGAGCGAGAAGAAAAACAUUCUCCUUCGAUACCUACAUCAGCAAUGGGAGAAAAAGAACGCUCCGAAAAAACGAGAAAUGGAAAAUCCUUCUUCCGAUGUGUAUCGCAAACGCCCACGGCUUGAGACGCGCGACAGCAACAGCGCUUAGAUGCGCUGCAGUAGAACGGUACACACUAUAAUAGAGGGAUAUUACUACUAAGGGGGGAAUUAGAUAUUACGAUACUACGCGGUAUGACCAAACGUUUUGGGAUGUGAACACCGCGGUGCGGUGCUGUUCAGGGUCGCACACACACUCUUCUCCUAAUCCUGCUAACUCCACCCUCUGAAUCAUUCUCAUGUCGGAGGGUCUCAGAGUGCAGAAUAGUCAUCCCUCGGUAGCAACAUCUUCCGGCCUGUUCGCUCAAAUUACAGCCUGCUCGGCUUCUUUUCUUACCUAUUUUUUGCUUCCCCCAUUGGUACGGGCGGUAUAGAUAAGUUUGUAAGUUAAGUUAUUCAUUUUUCUCGCUUUCUCUAUUCGCAAUUCAAAAAAUGAAGCUCGCUAGAGCCAUUUGUCUCACUCCCGGAGGAUCGCUCAGAUCUUCGAGGAUCGAUUUAUUACGAAUAACUUUCUUGAACUUUGGCCGUUCCUAGCUACUCGUAAACUUACACUGUCCAGUAAGGUUCUUUUUGUUUUCUUAUAAUCUAAGAUGUAAGAGCUCGUUUUCUUUAUUUAGAUAAGAAAACUGAGUAAGAAUUCGCGCUUCUUUUGGUUAUUAUAUCUGUUCAUCUCCUACAAGCAGCAACCAGCCUUCAAAAGAUCUGAUCGAAGAGUAUCUUUCCUAUGCGCUGGGUGGGUGUCGUGUGGAUUCGAUACAUUGUGAAAAUCGCAACGCAAGCAUCUGUACAAUCCGGAUAACAUUAAUUACAGAAACUCACCUCUCUAAUGGCCAAACAGUGGCGCAGUAGCAAACACAGCACAGAAUACCAUUUCACUUCUACAUUGCUCGAAGCGAAUAAAACAAGAUAAUCCUAACCAAUGUAUAAAUUUGGAAGUGUUCCCGACUCGCCUCAUCGAGAAGUAUUUACUUGUGUUCUCCUCGAAGUGCUUUUGCUAUGAAACAACAAACGCGACAAGUAUCAUAAUUCUCAGAAAUGGAGCAACAGCUCUCAUCGAUCGAUGGUGCAUUCAGGAUUGCAGGCCAAUUUUCCGAACCAGCAUCGAUAUCGUGAAGGAUUACAAUACAGGAAAUGAACCAAUAAAGAAAUCGACAUUAUUAAGUCUUACGGAGACCAUUGGAGGAAAGGGUUAUUUGUAUUACGACAAUUUUAGUGAUACACUUUGCAUAUGGGAAAGGUGCGACGAUCUUUUGAGCGAGGAAUACCGUCGAGACAUUUAUGACGACUCGUCAUGCACUCAAGAUCGUGUACCGUACGCCACAGAAUAUUGUCGACGCCUAUGGUCCUUACUUUCUUUGUUCCGGUGAAUGUUAAUCGUGCACGUUCAAGUGGUCGAUUUUUCAGUAAUUUUUAACUUUUGAGAUGUUCUAUCCACACGAGUACUACUUUUGUGAAACUUUUUACAGAAUGUCCAGUUUCGCAACCAAAUUCCAGAUGGGCUUUGCAAUAACGAUUAACAAGUUCACCGUGAGUGCUGGUAAUCUCAGCCCCCAAAUUAAAGAAAAUAAAAGGUAUUAGGG